rnacentral:rRNA from 1 species
UACGAACUGUGCGAACGUUAUUCGGAAUCACUGGGCUUACAGGGUGCGUAGGCGGCUUGUUAAGUAGGGUGUGAAAGCCCCCGGCUCAACCGGGGAAUUGCGCCCUAAACUGGCGAGCUGGAGUGAGAUAGGGGUGUGUGGAACUUCCGGUGGAGCGGUGAAAUGUGUUGAUAUCGGAAGGAACGCCGGUGGCGAAAGCGACACACUGGAUCUUGUCUGACGCUGAGGCACGAAAGCCAGGGGAGGCGAACGGG